rnacentral:misc_RNA from 1 species
AGAUAUUGAAAUUUAAGACACAUUUAUUACUUAGGGUGUGUUUGUUAUGGAGGUAACAGAAAGGGUGGAGGGGAGUGAACAAUUAUAGGAGUAAUAUUUAAGGGAGUAAUGGAUUGGGGUCAAAACUUAUGGAAUGAUAAUUAAGUAUGUUUGGUAUGUUGUUAAAGUCAUAUGAGAAAAUUAAAUAAGAGUAAAAUAAAAAUUUUGAAAAAGAAUUCCCCCCCAAGCACCCCCCUCCCUAAACUCCCUUUUCUUUUGUUAACCUUGGAGGGGAGGUGCAAACUUAAUCCCCAAAUGGGAUUAAAACAGGGUAAAUGUUACUCCCUUAACUUUUCCCCUUCUCCCCUAAAAUGUACCAAGCAAGCUUAAAGGGGAUGAGAACUUUUCAACUCCCAUCAAAUGUAACUUGAAGGAAAUAAAAAGGGAAAGAGACAAAUGAGAACAGUAGAACCAUCAUAUAUAAUGGCUUUGCUUGCUAGGUUUUUUUACUAGUGGCUUAUAUCUGGAACUAUAACUGUUCAGUACCACCAAAGGCUGAUAAAAGCAUAAAUUCUCAUCAUUGUGUUACUCUUAGCAUGCACUAGUUAAUAGAAAUUUCAUAACAUUUCAUUCUCUCUCAGAUGACCAGAGGAAAGACUUAGUUUCCAAAUCAAAAAACUUAAUGCAGUCCCAACUCCCAAGACAGAAGACCAAGAUAAUUAUAUGAUUUAUAAAGAGAAGAACUUGAUCGGGAUAAAAAUUAGGUAAUAUGAUAACAGUCAAAUGUUAAAAGAACAAAUAGAUAAUUCAUAAGGAAAAAUAAAUCAGGGCUCACAAUACUCAGAGUCGACAGUUAUCAGAAGAGGUUGUCAGUGUCACUUCUGGGGAGGGAGGUUCUCAGAUACAGAAACUUUACUAGGACAUUCUGCAAAUUAUAUUGUGCCUAUAAUCCUGCCAAUGUUUUGGCAUUUUUUUCUUGCCAAAUACUUUGCACAAAUUUACUCUUCCCAGUAAAAACUCCAAAUCAUCUUUAAAGCCUUCAUAUUUUGCUUGCCAUCCAAUUUUUAUUUAUGCAUAAAUAAAAGUAAUAAAGCACACAACCUACAAACCUUCUACAAUAAAAUUAUAUUACUUUUUUAUGCAUUCAUGUGUCCAAAUGAACUUUCAUUGUUCUGAAAAAAAGUACUAUUUUUGUCCUGUAACAACAAGUAAACAAAUACGACAUGAGAAUUUUUUUUAAAUCAUCAUAUUGUUGUAGGGCAAGCCCAUAAAUUUUGCAUAUUGCAUUAACAUUGUCAUUGUUAUUUUUUGUGGUUUGAAAUUUGGAUAUGUUUUCAAGGACUCGAAUUGUGACUCGACUCGAAAGUU